ACAGCAAAAAGAAAAAUAAGCCUAUAGGUUCAGAUUUAUCACUGCCUCAAGUUCAUCAACAUCAAUUAAGCUAUUAAACUGUGGCUGAAUUUGGCUCACAGUAAUUUAAAAAUUUCAACUUUCUUUGAGCGUCUUCCAUCAGCAACAUGCUAAUUUAAUGCAUAAUUUUAACUCCGCUGCCCUUAAUUCAGUGUUUGUAAAUAAUUAAAAAAGAACUAAAAAUCCUUUUGCAUUUAUAUAGUGGGCCCCCUCCCCCUUUUUCUACUGCAAAACAAAGAUGACUUUUCAAUCAAGUAUUUAUUUAUUCUUUAUAUCUGAAAGUAAAAGCCGUAGAAAAAACUAGGAGAAACUGAUUUACAAGAUAAAACAAUUAGCUCUGGGAUAUGUACAUUAAGACUAACAAAUUUCACAUCAUAUUUUAAGGAAUGGAGGAGGAAUCCCAGACAUAUUAGACUUUAUUCAAAUUCUACUGAAAUGUUCAAUUAAGAGCAUCUUAUGAAGACAGAUGAAAAUGCCUUUUAAAACUCAAACAAGACUGUGCAAAAACAGCUCAAACCUAUCCAUCUCCCAGUUGGUUCUUAAAAAAAGGUCAUGGUCCAUCAGAAGCUGCUAUUUCUGCUGGGAUGGGUGCAAGUCAGACAGUGCCCUCGUAACCCCCCAGGAAGAACUGCCAGGGAGGCCAGCUCAGGG